rnacentral:rRNA from 1 species
GACGAACGCUGGCGGCGUGCUUAACACAUGCAAGUCGAACGGAAAGGCCCUGCUUUUGUGGGGUGCUCGAGUGGCGAACGGGUGAGUAACACGUGAGUAACCUGCCCUUGACUUUGGGAUAACUUCGGGAAACUGGUGCUAAUACCGGAUAGGAGCUCCUGCUGCAUGGGGGGGGUUGGAAAGUUUCGGCGGUUGGGGAUGGACUCGCGGCUUAUCAGCUUGUUGGUGGGGUAGUGGCUUACCAAGGCUUUGACGGGUAGCCGGCCUGAGAGGGUGACCGGCCACCUUGGGACUGAGAUACGGAGCAGACUCCUACGGGAGGCAGCAGUGGGGAAUAUUGCACAAUGGGCGGAAGCCUGAUGCAGCAACGUCGCGUGCGGGAUGACGGCCUUCGGGUUGUAAACCGCUUUCGCCUGUGACGAAGCGUGAGUGACGGUAAUGGGUAAAGAAGCACCGGCUAACUACGUG